rnacentral:rRNA from 1 species
GAUGAACGCUGGCGGCGUGCCUAAUACAUGCCAGUCGAGCGAACGGACGAGAAGCUUGCUUCUCUGAUGUUAGCGGCGGACGGGUGAGUAACACGUGGAUAACCUACCUAUAAGACUGGGAUAACUUCGGGAAACCGGAGCUAAUACCGGAUAAUAUUUUGAACCGCAUGGUUCAAAAGUGAAAGACGAUCUUGCUGUCACUUAUAGAUGGAUCCGCGCUGCAUUAGCUAGUUGGUAAGGUAACGGCUUACCAAGGCAACGAUGCAUAGCCGACCUGAGAGGGUGAUCGGCCACACUGGAACUGAGACACGGUCCAGACUCCUACGGGAGGCAGCAGUAGGGAAUCUUCCGCAAUGGGCGAAAGCCUGACGGAGCAACGCCGCGUGAGUGAUGAAGGUCUUCGGAUCGUAAAACUCUGUUAUUAGGGAAGAACAUAUGUGUAAGUAACUGUGCACGUCUUGACGGUACCUAAUCAGAAAGCCACGGCUAACUACGUG